UACGGAGGAUCCGAGCGUUAUCCGGAUUUAUUGGGUUUAAAGGGAGCGUAGGUGGAUUGUUAAGUCAGUUGUGAAAGUUUGCGGCUCAACCGUAAAAAUGCAGUUGAAACUGGCAGUCUUGAGUACAGUAGAGGUGGGCGGAAUUCGUGGUGUAGCGGUGAAAUGCUUAGAUAUCACGAAGAACUCCGAUUGCGAAGGCAGCUCACUAGACUGCAACUGACACUGAUGCUCGAAAGUGUGGGUAUCAAACAGG
rnacentral:rRNA from 1 species